AGUUGAAGCCCGCUGGUUUGGGUGUUUAGUUGUUAACUAAACUCUUACGGGAUCGAGGCCCGUCAGCUUGGU
rnacentral:tRNA from 1 species